rnacentral:rRNA from 1 species
UGAACGCUGGCGGCGUGCCUAAUACAUGCAAGUCGAGCGAACAGAUGAGGAGCUUGCUCCUCUGACGUUAGCGGCGGACGGGUGAGUAACACGUGGAUAACCUACCUAUAAGACUGGGAUAACUUCGGGAAACCGGAGCUAAUACCGGAUAAUAUAUUGAACCGCAUGGUUCAAUAGUGAAAGACGGUUUUGCUGUCACUUAUAGAUGGAACCGCGCCGCAUUAGCUAGUUGGUAAGGUAACGGCUUACCAAGGCGACGAUGCGUAGCCGACCUGAGAGGGUGAUCGGCCACACUGGAACUGAGACACGGUCCAGACUCCUACGGGAGGCAGCAGUAGGGAAUCUUCCGCAAUGGGCGAAAGCCUGACGGAGCAACGCCGCGUGAGUGAUGAAGGUCUUCGGAUCGUAAAACUCUGUUAUUAGGGAAGAACAAAUGUGUAAGUAACUAUGCACGUCUUGACGGUACCCAAUCAGAAAGCCACGGCUAACUACGUG